AUUGAACGCUGGCGGCAGGCUUAACACAUGCAAGUCGAGCGGGGGAAGGUAGCUUGCUACUGGACCUAGCGGCGGACGGGUGAGUAAUGCUUAGGAAUCUGCCUAUUAGUGGGGGACAACAUCUCGAAAGGGAUGCUAAUACCGCAUACGUCCUACGGGAGAAAGCAGGGGAUCUUCGGACCUUGCGCUAAUAGAUGAGCCUAAGUCGGAUUAGCUAGUUGGUGGGGUAAAGGCCUACCAAGGCUACGAUCUGUAGCGGGUCUGAGAGGAUGAUCCGCCACACUGAGACUGGGGCACGGCCCAGACUCCUACUGGAGGCAGCAGUGGGGAAUAUUGGACAAUGGGGCGAACCCUGAUCCAGCUAUGCCGCGUGUUUGAAAAAGGCCUUAUGGUUGUAAAGCACUUUAAGCGAGGAGGAGGCUCUUUUGGUUAAUACCCAAGAUAAGUGGACGUUACUCGCAGAAUAAGCACCGGCUAACUCUGUGCCAGCCGCCGCGGUAA
rnacentral:rRNA from 1 species